AUUCAGGCAGUCUUAUAUGGUGUCAUGGCAAUUUACGUAGAACUCGUUUUUUCACGGAUUUUUUCUUCCUCUCUUAAAGAAGGCUAAUAAAACUAGAGACUCUGAGUGUGAUGCAAGUUUGAAGAAAACAGAAAAUACUACAUGAAGUGUUUAUGGACAGAUAGUAAAGACAAAGAUUUCACAAUUAUGGGUCAGAAAUACCGGACAAGAAAAGCUUACAAGAAAUCAUCAAUCUUCUCUACUUAUCCA
rnacentral:lncRNA from 1 species